rnacentral:rRNA from 1 species
UGGGGAAUAUUGCACAAUGGGCGCAAGCCUGAUGCAGCCAUGCCGCGUGUGUGAAGAAGGCCUUCGGGUUGUAAAGCACUUUCAGCGGGGAGGAAGGCGUUAAGGUUAAUAACCUUGGCGAUUGACGUUACCCGCAGAAGAAGCACCGGCUAACUCCGUGCCAGCAGCCGCGGUAAUACGGAGGGUGCAAGCGUUAAUCGGAAUUACUGGGCGUAAAGCGCACGCAGGCGGUCUGUCAAGUCGGAUGUGAAAUCCCCGGGCUCAACCUGGGAACUGCAUUAGAAACUGGCAGGCUAGAGUCGUGUAGAGGGGGGUAGAAUUCCAGGUGUAGCGGUGAAAUGCGUAGAGAUCUGGAGGAAUACCGGUGGCGAAGGCGACCCCCUGGACAAAGACUGACGCUCAGGUGCGAAAGCGUGGGGAGCAAACAGG